rnacentral:rRNA from 1 species
GACGAACCACCCAAACGUUAUUCGGAAUUACUGGGCUUAAAGGGUGCGUAGGCUGUGCGGAAAGUUGGGUGUGAAAUACCUCAGCUUAACUGACGAACUGCGCUCAAAACUACCGUGCUCGAGGGAGACAGAGGUAAGCGGAACUUAGGGUGGAGCGGUGAAAUGCGUUGAUAUCCUAAGGAACACCGGUGGCGAAAGCGGCUUACUGGGUCUCUUCUGACGCUGAGGUACGAAAGCUAGGGGAGCGAACGGG